GAUGAACGCUGACAGCAUGCUUAACACAUGCAAGUAACUAAUGUGGCGGACGGGUGAGUAACGCGUAUAGAACUUGCUUCACAGCUAGGGACAAUAUCUGGAAACGAAUGUUAAUACCUAAUACUGUGGGAGAGCUUUGCGUCCCAUUAGCUAGUUGGAGAGGUAACGGCUCACCAAGGCGAUGAUGGGUAGCCGGCCUGGGAGGGUGAUCGGCCACAAGGGGAUUGAGGCACGGCCCUUACUCAUACGGGAAGAAGCAGUGGGAGAUAGUGGACGAUGGACCAAAGUAUGAACCAGCAAUUCUGUGUGCACGAUGAAGUUUUCGGAAGGAAGAGUGCGUUCAGUUGGGAAGCGGUACCAACAGAAGAAGUGCCGGCUAAAUACGUGCCAGCAGCCGCGGUAAUAC
rnacentral:rRNA from 1 species